CCUACGGGAGGCAGCAGUAGGGAAUAUUGCUCAAUGGGGGAAACCCUGACGCAGCAACGCCGCGUGGAGGAUGAAGGUUUUCGGAUUGUACACUCCUUUUGUUAGAGAAGAUAAUGACGGUAUCUAACGAAUAAGCACCGGCUAACUCCGUGCCAGCAGCCGCGGUAAUACGGAGGGUGCAAGCGUUACUCGGAAUCACUGGGCGUAAAGAGCGCGGAGGCGGGAUAGCAAGUCAGAUGUGAAAUCCUAUGGCUUAACCAUAGAACUGCAUUUGAAACUGUUAUUCUAGAGUAUGGGAGAGGUAGGUGGAAUUCUUGGUGUAGGGGUAAAAUCCGUAGAGAUCAAGAGGAAUACUCAUUGCGAAGGCGACCUGCUAGAACAUAACUGACGCUGAUGCGCGAAAGCGUGGGUAGCAAACAGGAUUAGAUACCCUUGUAGUC
rnacentral:rRNA from 1 species